rnacentral:rRNA from 1 species
GACGAACGCUGGCGGCGUGCCUAACACAUGCAAGUCGGACGGGGUAAUCCUUCGGGAUUACUUAGUGGCGAACGGGUGGGUAACGCGUGAGGAACCUGCCUUCCAGUGGGGGACAACAGUCGGAAACGACUGCUAAUGCCGCAUAACACAACGAGAUCGCAUGAUUUUGUUGUCAAAGCUUUAUGUGCUGGAAGAUGGCCUCGCGUCUGAUUAGCUAGUUGGUGGGGUAACGGCCUACCAAGGCGACGAUCAGUAGCCGGACUGAGAGGUUGAACGGCCACAUUGGGACUGAGAUACGGCCCAG